UGAGGCCUUAUUUCCAGGACUCUGGAGAAAUCGAUGGAAAUAGAUGGUGAUGUACCAGCGGAUUCCAGGUUCUGACCCGUGGAAUGCUGAAUGUAUGUCUACAGAACAAGUGGACGAAAAUUAUAAAUGAAAUUAUAUUAAAUUGGGAGGGUGUCCGUAUGGGGAUUACAGGAUAACAGACUUGGGACAGUUCUGGGAUUGGAAGAGAGGGUAUCCUUAUAGCAUAGGGGAUCCCACAAAGGUGGAUAGGUUUUCCAUGAUAUGGGAAAACCUGGGAGCACUGUUGAACUUUGUAAAGGUGAUGAAAUCUUGCUAACCAUCAAAACGAUUAAGCUCUCUGAUGCAGGCACUUACACCCUCGGACUACAAAGGACCGGGACAGACACGAUGGGUGUGUUUUCUAUUAAGGUGCUGCCAAAACCAGAGGUCCCAGAUGAACCAGGGCCAGACACACUCCUCUACCACCCCUGGACCGAACCUGCCACCACUGUGUUAAAAAUCCCAUUCAGGUAAUUAAUGUUAGACUAUUCAGCUAUUGAUCAAUUAGGCAGUGAGACUGGUGUUAUUGGUAGGGACAAUUUGUGGCUUUCUUAUAUGAGGUACAGUUAAGACCCUGAAAAGAAAGGACUACAUGAGUUACAUGAAACAUUGGUCAUGAUAGACCUGUUCUGGCUACACACCCAUUUGCUAUAGGAGAAGGAGAGGGGUGGUUGUGUAUUCUGAGAGGUUUAUACCUGGUUGAGGCCAAUUCAACUCUCUGUUCCUCUUUGAGCCUUGUGUUUCCUACAGUACCUCCUCAUCGGGCCCCUUGGGGUGUUGAGGCAUAUGGGGGCAAUUACAGUUGCAUCACGGGUACAGGUAAUGGCAUUGAUUAUGGGAGAUUGCCUGAAGCUGAUUGCAGUAGUAACAACCAUUAAUUCCACUUGGCCAGUUACAGGCCUAAACCAAACUAGUGGUUAUGUUACUACUGCAAUCAGCUUCAGGCAAUCUCCCAUAAUCAAUGCCAUUACCUGUACCCGUGAUGCAACUGUAAUUGCCCCCAUAUGCCUCAACACCCCAAGGGGCCCGAUGAGGAGGUACUGUAGGAAACACAAGGCUCAAAGAGGAACAGAGAGUUGAAUUGGCCUCAACCAGGUAUAAACCUCUCAGAAUACACAACCACCCCUCUCCUUCUCCUAUAGCAAAUGGGUGUGUAGCCAGAACAGGUCCAUCAUGACCAAUGUUUCAUGUAACUCAUGUAGUCCUUUCUUUUCAGGGUCUUAACUGUACCUCAUAAGAAAGCCACAAAUUGUCCCUACCAAUAACACCAGUCUCAGUGCCUAAUUGAUCAAUAGCUGAAUAGUCUAACAUUAAUUACCUGAAUGGGAUUUUUUAAUACAGUGGUGGCAGGUUCGGUCCAGGGGUGGUAGAGGAGUGUGUCUGGCCCUGGUUCAUCUGGGACCUCUGGUUUUGGCAGCACCUUAAUAGAAAACACACCCAUCGUGUCUGUCCCGGUCCUUUGUAGUCCGAGGGUGUAAGUGCCUGCAUCAGAGAGCUUAAUAGUUUUGAUGGUUAGCAAGAUUUCAUCACCUUUACAAAGUUCAACAGUGCUCCCAGGUUUUCCCAUAUCAUGAAAAACCUAUCCACCUUUGUGGGAUCCCCUAUGCUAUAAGGAUACCCUCUCUUCCAAUCCCAGAACUGUCCCAAGUCGGUUAUCCUGUAAUCCCCAUACGGACACCCUCCCAAUUUAAUAUAAUUUCAUUUAUAAUUUUCGUCCACUUGUUCUGUAGACAUACAUUCAGCAUUCCACGGGUCAGAACCUGGAAUCCGCUGGUACAUCACCAUCUAUUUCCAUCGAUUUCUCCAGAGUCCUGGAAAUAAGGCCUCAUAGACAGGGAGUUAGACAACAGCCCCAUAAAACUAAAACAGUCACACAGGUGAAUGUAGCCCAUAAUACAGUGAUCAUAAUAUUUUCCCCAUUUUCUAAACAUAUUAUCAAACCCAAUUAAUCAGAAGUAUCCACCCCAGUGUUUUCUGUCAACCCGUGAUCCAGGGUGGUCAAACCAGCUGAGGCUUCGGGUACUGAUUCAUCCGGAGCUGUGUUAUUUGGGAUGUCACCCACGAUAAGACAGCUCAGACAAACAGCUUCCAUGUGAAGCCCCACCCUUUCCCCGAGAACACAUCACUUAGCAAGAGCCAGACACAUCUUCACUUCUAUGAACAAAAACAGGGGUGACAGGACAGGGAGGAUUUUCUUCAUUCGAGAGAUGGCCCCCGGAAUUCUGUUAAUUCCAGUUCUCCUCUCGAACACUGUUUAUUGUUCGAUAGUGUCCGUGUGUCUUACCCUCCCACCGUGCGAUAUGAAUCCGGGUAGCUCUUUCAGCUAGCUGCCACCAGGAGACCUUGGUAUGGUCCCCCCAACAAGCCUCUGGGACUGGAUUGAGUGACUUCACCUGCAGUUCACCUAUAAUGCAUAAAAUGCUGGACAUACAGGCUUGGUUAACAAACAGUUUCUCAUGUUUUAUCUGAUUCUAUCUUUAACUUCUAUGCCCAUUUGUUAACUACAUUUUAAAAAAUAUUAGUUUAUCCAAUAGGCCCCAUCCUAUCCUAGACCACAAUUUACCUAUCCCCCUUUUGAUACCUGGCUUUGCCCAGGUAACAACUUUACCUACUCUAAAUAAUGACUUAGGUAAGAUUAGUAUAUUAUCCUUCUGUUCUGACAUUAUCAUGUAGGAGCGCCCCUUUAAAUUUCCCACAUGUCCAAUUCUCCCUUUUGUCUCCACUCAGUGACUGUUAUCUACACACUCCGUUAUCUUUGCUCAUCCUGGCUCCCUUCUAAAACUUCUCCUCUCUGCUCUCCAACCGUCAAGGUCUCUGCAGUGCGGGGGAGGGCUCAUCUGUCUGCCUUUUCCCAUGUUUCCACAUUUUAACUAAAUGUCUCACUGUUUGGCUUUAUCUAAACUCAUGGAUUUUUAUUUUUUGAAAAACAUGUCUAUGGUGGCAAUUACUAAAGUCUUUAUAUAGGUUAAGUAAACUCCACUAUAAUUAAAUUACCUUAAAAAAUUAAAAUUCAAAAAAAAAAAAAAAUUUAUUUUUUAUUUUUAUAAAACAGUAUUACCCAUGACCACAAAUGUAUUAUUCAAAUGGCACCCCCUUGUGGCUGAUCAGACCACCCGAGAGAGCCAUGAAAUCCGGUCACGGGUUACACCAUCCCCCCACAUUCGUGUUCCAUACCAUAUUAGACAUAUUAAAGAACCCUUUAUCCUUAAAAUAAAAUAAAAAUCACUUGUGUAAUUAAAACUCAUAAAAUAAAAAACUCAUAAAGGUUCCAUAUGUGAGCGUGCCUCUUUAAAAUAUCAUGUCUCUGGGAACAUGGAAAUCCCCUUAACCCAAACAUUUACUACAAAAACAAAACCUAAUAAUUAUGAUAAUCCCCUCAAACUCAAAUAAUUUGUCUCGAUGUUUCAUGUCUUAUUCGUGUUUCUCCAAAUUUUCUCCCAAAAAUACUUCUUAAAUACCCAGCCAUUAGACAGACACACACAACUGUGAUAAAUGUGCACUGUCCCUUUAACAUAAAAACCUCAGCCUGCAAUCCACUCUGCGGGCCUUUCAUAGUUCUCCAUAAUGAAAACAGAUUAUAAUGUUAGUAUACCUUGACCUCCUGUUUAAUUUCAAUGAUGUUAUCUGAACAAUCAAACCAAAAUCAAUACCCGGGAAGUACUUGUGUAAAUGAAUUAAAAUAACUAAAUAAUUUGGUUAGAACACCACUCCCGUCUUACAUCGACCACACCCUUCGCCCCGUACCUAGUGUACAGCUUAUCUAUUACUCAGUGGCUCAAUUAAUGUUUAACGUAAGUAUGUUCAGAUGUUGAUUAUGUAAUUCUACAACAUUAGCAUAGUUCAAACCUCAUAAUAUAAAUCCGCAAAAAGAAUUUUGCGUUAAUAGAGUUUAACACUCUUUCCAACAGUCAUGCACCCCCCUCAAUAUUCUAUGAUAUAACUCUCAUCAGCAAGCCUGCGACUUUUUCAACAUUCUCACCGGUUCC
rnacentral:lncRNA from 1 species